rfam:Pseudomonas cremoricolorata strain ND07, complete genome.
UGACCAGGGGGUCGGGCUGUUCUGACGGUUACUGAGUCGGAGUGGCCUAGGGGUACAGGGAGUACCUCCGUAAUGGGCCGGGUCAGGAAAGGU